CCCAGAAGGCAGGGCAGAGCUAGCUUCUGGGAUCCUUCAGCCCCUGCAGGUUUGGGACUCUGUUCACAGGUCCAGACCCAGUACUUAUUAUGAACUGUUGGGGGUGCAUCCUGGUGCCAGCACUGAGGAAGUUAAACGAGCUUUCUUCUCCAAGUCCAAAGAGCUGCACCCAGACCGGGACCCUGGGAACCCAAGCCUGCACAGCCGCUUUGUGGAGCUGAGCGAGGCAUACCGUGUGCUCAGCCGUGAGCAGAGCCGCCGCAG
rnacentral:sRNA from 1 species